CCUCACGGCACGGCACGGCAAAAAAAAAAAAAAAAUACAAAAAACCCACCUGAACAGAAACGGUAUAAAGCUGAAAUAAAUGCAUUAGUAUUUUUUUUUAUCAAGUCGUCUUAUAUUGUCAUUUGCCCAUAUUCGCAACAUGUUGGGCCACGCCCCCAUCAACAGCGCAAGACACAAACCAACGUGCCUGCAUUCUGACAGCGCUUCAAUGGAGACUAGCAGCUAACCACUGGAUACCACUGUAACUAACAGACAUUUCCAAGUCCAGGGGUGAAGCUCCAGCGCAACCUCAACUAAAUUUCCCCAAGACACUCCAGGGAAACCGAAACAGGAGCUUCAAUGGUGAGUGGUAUGCAGUCCACCCCUGGUUAGAAUACUCCAUAAGUGAAGACUCUACCUCUAACAAACAAAAAAGACAAUUAUGUAAAAUUAUUUACAUGGAUCUACCUACACUCACUCACACACUCACUCACACACUCACACCCACACAAGCAAACAAAGAGUGCCCCUUGUAGACCUGGUUUGUCAGUGCUCUGUUUUCAUUCAGCACCACAAUCUGCUCUAUUGUUCACUGUUUGUAGUGAUACUGUUCAAUGUACAUUAUACAUAUUGUUGAUAUUUUUUUUCUUUAUGUAUUAUGGGACAUGUGCAUGUGAUGUAAUGUUUUUGCUUUUCUUUCUCUUUAUAUAUACAUAUGUAUAUGUAUAUAUUAUCGCAAAUGAAUGGAAUAUUGCACUUAAAAUGCUACAGUUUACCUAAAUAAAUUAUCGCCUAAAAUGACAA